CCUACGGGAGGCAGCAGUGGGGAAUAUUGGACAAUGGGGGAAACCCUGAUGCAGCGACGCCGCGUGAGUGAAGAAGUAUUUCGGUAUGUUAAGCUCUAUCAGCAGGGAAGAAGAAAGACGCUACCUGACUAAGAAGCCCCGGCUAACUACGUGCCAGCAGCCGCGGUAAUACGUAAGGGGCAGGCGUUAUUCGGAUUUACUGGGUGUAAAGGGAGCGUAGACGGCUGUGCAAGGCUGAAGUGAAAUCCCAGGGCUCAACCCUGGGACUGCUUUGGAAACUGUGGAGCUAGAGUGCUGGAGAGGUAAGUGGAAUGCCGUGUGUAGCGGUGAAAUGCGUAGAUAUACGGAGGAACACCAGUGGCGAAGGCGGAUUGCUGGACAGUAACUGACGCUGAGGCGCGAAAGCGUGGGGAGCAAACAGGAUUAGAUACCCUGGUAGUC
rnacentral:rRNA from 1 species